AUCCUGGACCGUGGUGGACUCCCCUGUGCUCGGUAGAUUCUACGUGUGAUGGGUCUACAGGAUCAGGAGCCACUGUUCUCCCUAUUGGAGGGCGUCUGGGUGGAAGUCAGGAUGGCUUUGCCUCACUGUCUUCCUCCAAACCUUUUCCUUUUCACUGAGAGAGCAGUGCUGUUUGCUGCUGACUGAGGAUGCAGAAGCCAGAGAUCUGACCUUGAGGGACACCUGGACAUGCUGGAUGCGGCCCUGAGCCCAGAGCUUUCCAUGUUAGUGUUCUGUCUGUACAUAGAUGGUUUAAAAUGAUGCUCACUCACCAUUCCAGAGCCAGUAGGUCUGAAGUGUGGCAGGUGUGGUUAGCAUCUCUGUCUGGCCUCUCAUAAGGUUGCUCUCAAGGUCUUAGCCCCUCAAGCUCUCAGGCUCUGGGAAAAUGAAAAUGCAGGUUUCGGUGUGUAGGACUGAGUUCUAUCUUUUUGCUGGCUAACAACAGCUUUGAUUGGUGGACUCUGCCAGCCUCCUUUUCAUUUGACUUCUCCCUCUUCAAGCUGUCAAGGCUGUGUCAAAUCCUUUACAUGUAAACUGACUCUGACUUCCUCUUGGGGUACCUGAUAGGACUUGAAGUAACUUGUGGUAUAGCACUCCCACUUAGGUACUCCUCCUGUCAUCAGGGUUAGCCAGUCAUAGUACUAUCUGAAUUAGUGUUUGAUUGGUCAUCUUAGAAUUCUGCCUAUCAUAAUUGAAGCCACUGCUGGUUGAAAUCAGAGCUCCCCAAACAGACCUAAGUGGCCACAUUGUCUUGAACCUGCCAGAUUUUCUCUGAUAGAGGAAGUUUUGGAAAUGGUGCUGUUGGUCAGCAUCGGGGAGCAUGUGGAAGCCUGAGCAGAGUGUCACAAGUAUUAGAGGGGACACGUGUGUCAGUCUGUAGGGUACACAAGUGUCGGGUAGGUUCCAGGCCUCUGCCCCAGCUGCUCCUGGAGUUGGAACAUUUGGGAGCAGUGGGGGGGAUUAUACUGAGCAGAAGGGAUGAGUUAUCCUCUUCGCACUUGGAUAGGAUGUUAGUAACUAGGCCAGACUUGUGAUUCUUCAGCUCCCUGAGUCCGACGAUCACAGGAAGGCAUCUCCACAAACGCAGUGUUUGCUCAAACAGCCUGUUCUUGAUCCCUUUGCAGUUUCCCAAAAGAAGCACUACCGCUAGGCAGGGGUCGUCUGCCAGCUUGCUGUCUGUUCUGUGCUUGACUCUGCUACUCACCAGGGCUCAUGUAAUAAGAGCUUAGUUCUGCGUUUGAGUUCUGUAUAAACAUCUGAUUUGGG
rnacentral:lncRNA from 1 species